rnacentral:rRNA from 1 species
UACGUAGGGCGCAAGCGUUGUCCGGAAUUAUUGGGCGUAAAGAGCUCGUAGGCGGUUUGUCGCGUCUGCUGUGAAAACCUCAGGCUCAACCUGGGGCUUGCAGUGGGUACGGGCAGACUAGAGUGCGGUAGGGGUGACUGGAAUUCCUGGUGUAGCGGUGGAAUGCGCAGAUAUCAGGAGGAACACCGAUGGCGAAGGCAGGUCACUGGGCCGC